GCUGGGCGUGGUGGUGCGCACCUGUAGUCCCAGCUACUCGGGAAGCUGAGGCAAGAGAAUCACUUGAACCCAGGAGGCGGAGGUUGCAGUGAGCCGAGAUUGCACCACUGCACUCCAGCCUGGGCAACAGAGUGAGACUUUGUCUCUA
rfam:Homo sapiens chromosome 14, GRCh38 reference primary assembly.